GGUCUCUCACUGAGCUGCACACUCACUGCUGCUGGGGGCACGGCGGACACACACACACUCUGCUGGAGGAGCUGUCUGUGUGAGGGGAGAAUGUCAGGGACCAGUCAGCCACAGGACCUGGAGCUCAUUAAAGAACUAGAGCUCAUCUUGGAUUCCUGCACACUGGAGCUCACACCAGUGGAUGAAGUCUGGCCCAACCUGUACAUAGGAAAUGUUGCAGUGGCACAGAAUAGAAAGACAUUAAAUAAGCUCGGCAUCACUCAUGUCCUGAACGCAGCACACUCCAAGCAGGGCAGCAUCGGUGACCAGAGUUUUUAUGGGGACUCCUGCGUUUACUUUGGCAUCCCAGCAGAGGAUUCAGACCGCUUCGACCUCAGUGAGAACUUCAAACCUGCAGCUGCCUUCAUACAUAAAGCCCUGAAGAGCAAAGAUGGAAAAGUGCUGGUGCAUUGCAUCAUGGGAAUGAGUCGAUCAGCCACAUUGGUCCUGGCUUACUUAAUGUUGCGGCAGCGUUUCAUUCUGAGAGAUGCUCUGAAACACAUCGUCCAAAAGCGACCCAUUUAUCCAAACAAGAACUUUCUGUCUUUGCUCCUCAAACUGGAUCAACAGCUGACAUUCAAACGGAGGUUGUGUCCUCUUUUAUGACACCUCUCCCUCUCUUUCUUCUCCUCCCUCAUCACAUUACACCUCUAUUCCCAUGAGAUCCACUUUAAUCUGUAUGGAAAAUAAUGUAAAUAAUACUCCUUUUUACUUUCAAAGUUACUUUUCAUGCACAGGUUUAACUUCUGGCUACAGCAGCAAUGAUCAUGUGUUGUAAAAAGUGUAUUUAUUCUCUUUGUAUUAUUUUCAUAUUCAAACAUUUAUUCAAAUGUUCCCUGCCAGAGUUGUUCUGCAUGUACACAAGCUUUGUAAAUAUAGCUUUAUGACUCAGUGUGAAUAGGAAUUAAAGACAUUUUGUGUUAUUUAAUUGAAAUAUUCUGGCUGGUUUUAAUAUGGAAAAAGUGCCUUGAAGAAUUCAUGUGCAGUUAACUUCAUGUUAAUGUCACUGUUGUAGUUUAUAUUCAUCUUAAAGAGUAAAAACACUGCUAUACCUGAACUUAUAUAUCCUUAGGUUAUGUAAACCAAAUGCCAAAAUGCAAUAAGCAUAACCUACUUUUCAUUAUUUACGAUACUGUAUGAUGUAAACACAAAUGCAGCUGAAGUAAAUACGUCACUGGGGACUGUUAUUCACAGCAUGGAUCAUAUUUCUUAAAGGAGCAGAGCAGCUGGCGUUACUCUGCAACACAGAGACACAUACAGCACCGGUAUGUGUUACAUAACAGUCUGCAGUAAUGGAAACUGAGCCAGUGAGCUAAUGUCAAGCUUCACAGGAUAGUGCCACAUUGUUGACCAUAAGAAUCAGACAUGAAUCAAAAUGCUUUAGAUGUGGUUUUUAUUUGGGAGUUGAACUGCUGAUAGAUGUGGGAUGAUGAGCCAAUGAGUGUAUGAUUACAGAGUUAUAAAAGGAAGCAGUCAUAUGUGAGUGUGAGAAAUAAGAACAAGCUAGGAAAAGAGUUUGCCCUGCCAAGAAGGUAGGUGAGUUCAUACAGGAUGACUCAGACUGAAAACAGUAUGUCUCUUAGAGAUCCUCCGUAUGAACCUCCUUCUGUCUCAGCGCUGCAGGAAUUCCUGCUGGCAAACAGACGACCGACAGGACAUGUCAAUGAAGUCUGGCCUAACCUCUACAUAGGAAACGAGACGGGUGUUUGUCCACUGUCUGAUGGGCUUGAGCCGCUCUGCCACGUUGGUGUUGGUCUUCCUGAUGAUCGCUGUAGGCCUGAGCCUGCAGGAGGCAGUGGCUGCUGUCAGGCCGCAGAGAGACGUCUGUCCCAACCAAGGCUUCCUGAUGCAGCUCUGCAGCCCCCACAUGGGCCUGGAGACAGGGAGAGGAGAAGGCGACGGCAGGCUAAAACACUGUAAAGACACAUCAACAUUAUGCACACAUUUCUGACAGAAGUGAUGCAAUUUCAGGAAGCCAGCAGCAAAUGUCAAUCAAGUCGAGUCUGUCCAUCAGAGAUGAGUGAUAUGGUAUAUCACCACCAGCAGUUUGAAAUGUAAAUAUAUUACAAUGAAUCAGGUUGCGUGAGGUGUGUCUGCAGGUCUGCGAGAUAAAGCCACACUCUGGUCCAUGGGUGUAACUCACAUACCUCUAGGUCAGCAACGUAUCAUCACAGGUCAGCAGUUCUACAACGACCUUGAGGGGGAAAUGUCACGGUGUUGAAGCUGCAGACCAUCUGGAGUUCAACCUCCAACCUGUCUGAAACCCUUUUGCACAGUUCAAAGACAGUGGUCAGUCUGCAAAUGCGGUCGACAAGCUUAAUGUAAUUCCUUUUUUACAUGCGGGUAUAACAAGAUAUUGAAAAAUUACACCCACUCUCUCUCCUUUUAACCAAAUGUUAUGUCUUGUUUCUUGUUUUGUCUUUAAGCAUUACUUUAAUUUUUCACCAACAGCAAUAACGCAUUUUCUU